rnacentral:tRNA from 1 species
GAAAAUUUAGUUAAAAUUUAUAUAACAUUAGCCUGUCAUGCUAAAAUAGUCUAAAGACAAUUUUCU